GACGAACGCUGGCGGCGUGCCUAAUACAUGCAAGUCGAGCGAACAGACGAGGAGCUUGCUCCUCUGACGUUAGCGGCGGACGGGUGAGUAACACGUGGAUAACCUACCUAUAAUACUGGGAUAACUUCGGGAAACCGGAGCUAAUACCGGAUAACAUGUUGAACCGCAUGGUUCAACAGUGAAAGACGGUCUUGCUGUCACUUAUAGAUGGAUCCGCGCCGCAUUAGCUAGUUGGUAAGGUAACGGCUUACCAAGGCAACGAUGCGUAGCCGACCUGAGAGGGUGAUCGGCCACACUGGAACUGAGACACGGUCCAGACUCCUACGGGAGGCAGCAGUAGGGAAUAUUCCGCAAUGGGCGAAAGCCUGACGGAGCAACGCCGCGUGAGUGAAGAAGGUCUUCGGAUCGUAAAACUCUGUUAUUAGGGAAGAACAAAUGUGUAAGUAACUAUGCACGUCUUGACGGUACCUAAUCAGAAAGCCACGGCUAACUACGUG
rnacentral:rRNA from 1 species